AGAACGAACGCUGGCGGCAGGCUUAACACAUGCAAGUCGAACGAACGUAGCAAUACGUUAGUGGCGCACGGGUGAGUAACACGUGGAUAUCUGCCUUUUGGUUCGGGAUAACCCUGGGAAACUAGGGCUAAUACCGAAUGGUUCCUACGGGAUAAAGAUUUAUCGCCAAAAAGAUGAGUCCGCGUCCGAUUAGCUAGUUGGUGGGUAAUGGCUCACCAAGGCGACGAUCGGUAGCUGGUCUGAGAGGACGAUCAGCCACACUGGGACUGAGACACGGCCCAGACUCCUACGGGAGGCAGCAGUGGGGAAUAUUGGACAAUGGGGGCAACCCUGAUCCAGCCAUGCGCGUGAGUGAUGAAGGCCUUCGGGUUGUAAAGCUCUUUUGGCGGGACGAUGAUGACGGUACCGCAGAAUAGCCCGCGUAACUUCGUGCCAGCAGUCCG
rnacentral:rRNA from 1 species